rnacentral:lncRNA from 10 species
UCCUUUUUCAUCCAGAUUCUAAAUUCUGUGGGUCAUUUCAACCAUUUCAGUCUGGUGCUGGUAUUCCUUUGACUGUGGUAUAAGUUCUGUGUAGUCAGUUGGGUUCAUUUCCAGAUACUUUAAGAUGGCCAAAGCCCUGUAGAAGAUCUUUAUUUCCCGGUCAAUCCUUGCUCCUGGUUUCCCAGGCAUUGUGGAGACAAAGUUGAAUAAACAUGGAAAUUUUACAAUACGUUUAAAAUUCAGUAGAUCAAAAAUAAGAUUUAAACAUCUGUUGGAGAUGAUUAUUCAACAAACUUCAAGUGUAUGUCCUUGGCACCUUUGUCAGAAAUAAAGAAAGACAGAAAGAUUGGGAGGCUGAGGCAGGCGGAUCACCUGAGGUUGGGAGCUCGAAACCACCCUGAUCAACAUGGAGAAACCCCAUCUCUACUAAAAAUACAAAAUUAGCCGGCAUGGAGGCGCAUGCCUAUAAUCCCAGCUACUUGGGAGGCUGAGGCAGGAAAAUUGUUUGAACCCAGGAGGCAGAGAUUGUGGUGAGCCGAGAUCUUGCCAUUGCACUCCAGCCUGGGCAACAAGAGCAAAACUGUCUCAAAAAAACAAAAAAACAAAAAAACAAAACAAAAAAAACAAAGACAGAAAGAAAGGAAUGAAGGAAAAGGAAAAGGAAAAGUAGUUCAACAAAACAACCAGAAAACAAAUAACAAAAUGUCAGGCGUAAGUCUCUAUUAGUAAUGACAUUGAAUGAAAAUGGACUAAACUCUCCAAUCAAAAGACAAAGAGUGGCUGACUGGAUAACAUAAACAAGACCCACUCAUCUGUUGUCUACUGCCUACAAGACAUUAAUUUCACCUAUAAAGACACAUAUAGACUGAGUACAAAAGAUUGGAAGAAGAUACUAGAUGCCAAUGGAAAUGAAAAAAGAGCAAGAAUAGCUACACCAAUAGACAAAAACCCUGAGAAGAGACCAAGAAAGUCGGUAUAUAAUGAUAAAGGGGCAAGAGGAUAUCACAAUUGUAAAUAUGCAUGCAGCAAACCCUGGAACACACAGAUAUAUAAAGCAAAUUUUAUUAGAACUAAAGAGAGAGAUAGACUACAGUAAAAUAAUAGCUGGAAAUUUCAACACCCCACUUUCAACAUUGGGCAAAAUUUCCAGAGAGAAAAUCAAUAAAGAAACAUUGUAAUUAAUCGAUCUUUCUUUUAGUGAAGGUGAUUUUCUCAAGCAGUAAGACUUAAUUUCUUGCUUUUUGUUUUUUUGUGUAUCCAUUGUAUGCCUUUUGAUUUGAGGUUACCAUGAGGCUUCCAAAUACUCUCUUAUAAUCUAUUAUUUUAAGCUGAUAACAACACAGUUUGU